UAUAACACGUUGUGUUUCUCCAAUUUACUACUAAAUAUCUAAUCAUGGCCGUGACUAGCUAAAGGCCAUGUUUGUAUUAUGAUUUCAUUUUGUUAUGGCGGAGGUCCUUAAAAUGGGGCUCUGAGAAUGGAAAGGCAGAAGGCUCUGGUGGUACAUUGCAUGCUGUAUCUUUCUGGAACUUCUCUAGAUGCAUCUGUUUCUGCAGUGACCAAAAAUAAAUCUCUCUGCAUAGAUAUGUCUGACUCCUGAUUGCUCCUUUGCCGCCGGUCUCAUUUUAUGCUGAACAUCAUCACAGAAAUUCCACAACACUGCACUGUUACAAAAUCAC